rnacentral:rRNA from 1 species
UACGUAGGGGGCAAGCGUUGUCCGGAAUCAUUGGGCGUAAAGAGCGUGUAGGCGGCUCGGUAAGUCUGCUGUAAAAGUCUGGGGCUCAACCCCGGGAUGCCGGUGGAUACUGUCGAGCUAGAGUUCGGAAGAGGCGAGUGGAAUUCCUGGUGUAGCGGUGAAAUGCGCAGAUAUCAGGAGGAACACCAAUUGCGAAGGCAGCUCGCUGGGACGGUACUGACGCUGAGACGCGAAAGCGUGGGGAGCGAACAGGAUUAGAAACCCCAGUAGUCC